rnacentral:pre_miRNA from 1 species
AGUGUAGCAUGCCCGUUUGGUGAUAAACUCUGAUUUAUUAUUAUAUUUAUAUUGCUGGGUUAACGGGGUGUUACACAAAU